rnacentral:lncRNA from 1 species
UGAUGAGAGCACAAAAGUGCGAUCUAAGUACCAAUUAACUUAGCCUAAUGCUAGCAAAAUAAUGAUAAAUAAUAGGUGUUAACAUUUACAUGAUUAAAUAUUUUAUCCUUAGCACUUAUUAUAAUUUUUAUCAUUAUGUAAAUUCAUCUCUUCCCAGCUGCAGAACAGAGCCCAGAUUCAGUCGUUCGCAAGCACCUCAGCAUCCUUGCCGCGUCCGUGAGCCGCAUCAACCCUCUCAAGAUCCGCCUGCGUCUCAGG